UGGUCUUCCCACACUGUUUUUGCGGUGAACCCCGUCAGGCCCGGAAGGGAGCAGCGGCAGCGGCAAACGCAGGUGCUGGGGCUGGGC
rnacentral:SRP_RNA from 1 species